CGAGUUUCUCGAGUAAAUGUUGUUGUGAUCCCUCCUAUGCGGACAACUUUCAAGGCCCGUAGCGGCCCGUUGUGUCAUCUCAUACGUUCUUUCUUUUAUGAUGAACGAGCCCGGAGAAGAAGUUAAAGCCCGACUUAUGGCCCGGCUCGGCCCGUAAUCAGAUCCUCUCUCCUUCCUCAUCGUCUCUCUCCCGCCUGUUCUGCAAAAAUUCUCAGGCUUCCAGUGCACUUCGUUACUCUCUCGCUCGUCUCUUCCGUCUCGCUCUUCAGGCUUUCUUCUAGGGUUUUUGGGGCUCCACCCUCCACCAGCUCUCCCUCUCUCAGUUCGCAUUUGCCGCCGCCGCCGCUUCUGUACGCUCCCUCGCGGCUUGCCCCGGCAGCUGGUGGCUGCGUUUUCGGCUGCUCCCGGAGCUUUUUCAGCCAUGGAGACCGACGAAGGGUCGCGGCGCGUGCUUCCCUUUCAGCUUCAGUUCGACAAACCGCUGGCUUCUCAGGUGAAGAUGGCGGAGUGGAAUUCGGAGAAGGAUUUGCUGGCGAUGGUCACGGAGGACUCGAAGGUGGGUGCUUCAUCGCUUCAAUUGGCAGAGGUUGUGGACAAUCUCUCCUGCUCGGCUAAUAUUUUGAUAGACGUAUGACGCUGAAGCUGUUUGCUAAACUUCAAAUGUACUAGCUGUGGCUUCAUCCAAGGACCUUUGUCAUUUGAUGGUUGCAUGCGCAGGAGAACUUGUUGAAGACAUUGUUGAAUCAAUUGCUUACUGCUUGAUACUUCAAUAUUCCAAUAGAGGUGAAAUUGCACUAGGAUUCAGUGUUAUUCAAAUUUGAGUAAAAAUGAAUUUCAUCAAAUUGCUCGACAGUUUUCUGACAUUGAAGAUUUACUUAAUGUCGUCUGGACAUCAUUAUCGGUCAUGCACAAGCAGUGGGCUGAUGCCAUGAACAUAUUUCAUGAGAAGUUUGAUUUGUUAUGAAGCCUUAUUAAUGACCAUGGUUAGUGGUCCUAUUAAUACAGAGCAGUAGAUGGCUUUCCAUUGUUCUUCAUUUGACUGUUUCUGUUUGCUUAUCUAGGUCUUGACUCCUCUGCUCAAGAGGAAUUUUUGAGUCUUCCAGGUGGUGCUAGGACCAGUCCUGCAGUCCAUCAGUUUCUUGUUAAUUCUCUGGGUGAAGUGGGUAUGAAGCGUGUACCAAAAGUUGUCUGUGGUGCUGGAAAAGAACUUUAGCUGGUUGUCGUCAAUCAUCUGCAGGUGCGCGUUAUUACCUUUGCAUUUGGCUUUUUCUCUGAUAAAUUAUUGAGUUUUAAGCAUCGCAUAGAACAGUCAUGGAGGGUGAUCAGAUAGAUGUAGGAAUUUGUUAUAGUAAGUUAUACUUCACACAUUUUGAGACACGCCAUAUCUUUCAGAACAUCCUGGUGUUAAAUUCUUUUACAAACCUAUCGUAUGCAAUGAUAUGGAUUACUAACAUUAUUUGGCUGGAAAGGGUGAGGUAAAAUCUGAUUUGAUUCUGAUUUAACAAGUUGGCAAUCUCUACUGUAAGUUAUGCUUCACACAUUUUGAGACACGCCAUAUCUUUCAUAAUCAUUGGUGUGAAUUUGAACUUGAUCUAAGUUUGGGCUUUCAGAAUACUGUAAAUUGAGGUAUGGAUAUCUUUCAUAUGGUGGAUGGUCACCAAACAUCGAAUAAGAUAGAAUUGUGUUGAGUUU